GAUGAACGCUGGCGGCGUGCCUAAUACAUGCAAGUCGAGCGAACGGACGAGAAGCUUGCUUUUCUGAUGUUAGCGGCGGACGGGUGAGUAACACGUGGAUAACCUACCUAUAAGACUGGGAUAACUUCGGGAAACCGGAGCUAAUACCGGAUAAUAUUUUGAACCGCAUGGUUCAAAAGUGAAAGACGGUCUUGCUGUCACUUAUAGAUGGAUCCGCGCUGCAUUAGCUAGUUGGUAAGGUAACGGCUUACCAAGGCAACGAUGCAUAGCCGACCUGAGAGGGUGAUCGGCCACACGGGAACUGAGACACGGUCCAGACCCCUACGGGGGGCAGCAGGAGGGAAUCUUCCGAAAGGGGCGAAAGCCUGACGGAGCAACGCCGCGGGAGUGAUGAAGGUCUUCGGAUCGUAAAACUCUUUUAUUAGGGAAGAACAAAUGUGUAAGUAACUGUGCACGUCUGGACGGUACCUAAGCAGAAAGCCACGGCUAACUACGU
rnacentral:rRNA from 1 species